UCUGUCUCUCAUGAAUAAAUCAAAUCUUUAAAAAGAAAAAAAGGAAAUAAGAUAAAGUUUUGACAAGCCCAGCCUUCUAAGAAAGUCAGUGGGAAGACUGGCUGUUAAAUAUAAUGUUCUACACAUGUUCUAAUGGAGUGCAGAGGGAAUUUGUGUUUAAAAUGCUGUGUCGUGGAAUACCUCAGGGUGCCAUCUGAUGGUUCAUUUAUUUCUAAACUUCGUACAGCUACCAUAUUGAUAAAUAAAUCCCCCACAGGAGUGCUAGGAAGUUCUCCUGGUUACCCUUUCUCCAUUUUUAUAGGUUAAGAAUCAAAGCCACCAGAAAGAGGUCGACAACAUACAACCUGAUACCCAAGCCUUGUUUUUGGUGGUGGGUAGUGAGGCUGUAGGCCUGAGGUUCCUUAGGCGAACAAUGGAGUGAAGAAAGUAAAUGGUUCUGCCUGCCAUCUCUAAGAGUAGUCACGAAUCCCCGCUAUGGAUGGAAGGGCCUUCUGGUCCCAGCAGCUGCUCCACAACAGAAUCAGGCCAUUUUCUCCAAGGUGGCCAACUAUCCCUAAUCUUUUUGUCAUGUCAGACUCCAUGGUAGAAGAUGCAACUGAGGGGGCUGCCUCUAAGGACCUUCUCCUCCUACAGGGGCCUAAUGUCCUGCUUUCUGGUACUGAGGAGGGAGCCAUGGAAACUGGUCAGAGAACCUCCUCCUUCCUGCAGGAAGAGAAAGAGAAUCAGGCAAAUCAAAAUGAAGCAAGGCCUAGGGCAGUGCCCAAAGCUGACAGGCCACCACCCUAUGCAAAUACAGUUGACUAAGACUCAAGUUGUUCAUCUGGCCCUUGGCCACCCUGCAGACUCUGCCGGUGAGGCCUGUCAGCCACUGGGAUGCCCUGGGCCCCAGACCUCUCCUGGCAGUUGUACCUCUGCUGGAUACCAUUCCUGGUAUCAUUCCUAGGGAAUCUGGAGGCAAGUCCAGGCUUAUGUGCUCAGUGAGAAACAGUGGGCAUGUGUUUGCCAUUUGACUGAGACCAUCAACAAACAAGGCUUGGAUCCCAGGUCUGGCUCUGAGGCCCGGGAGCUUCAGGCCUUUGCAGUGGCAGAACAGUGAGGGAGGUACUCCGGGCUUUCAGCACCUCUUAAAUCAUGCCAGAGAGAGAGCCACUUACUUCCACACGCACAGGCUGCCGCUGGCUCUGUCACAAGAAGAUGAACUACAAGUAAUAAAAUCAAGAUGAAGUUCUGUGUAAAUCUUUCUAGCUCACAAAGACUGUAGAAAGUUGAAGAUGAAAGGCAUAUUAAAGACCAUCGAGUCCUAUCUUCUCAUCCCGCAUCUGCAAACCUUCGGCCCUGAGAAGUGAGUGGACCACCCCACCAUCACGCAGCCCCUCCAAGGCGGCAGUGGCGCUGACUUUCCGUGGAUGUCACACCACAUCCUUGCCGGCCUGCUAGUCACACGUUAUCUCACGACUUCAGAAAACAGAGUCUGAAGACUUGAGGUUGAAGAGUUUCCUGUCAGGAGGACAUCAUUUGAUAGGUGAUGCAAUUAAUACCCUUUUGAAGUUUAAUUAUACCUCUGGCAUUGCAUUGCAUGAAGCAUUUACUCACGGCUGUGUUUUUGGAAGCUAAGUGUAUGGCAGGAACGACAUAUUUAUCUUGGAAUUGAGACUUGAGAAGCGAGUUCCUCCCUUGAACGUGGCCUAAGAUGUAUCACCUCCCCAUCUGGGAUUCCAGCCUCAGGUACAUAAGGAAGCCAACAGUAAAGUUGAAGAGUAAAAAGAGCAAGAAGACAUCUUCCAUGAAUGGAGCUAAAAGCUGAUGAGGGAAAGUACAGCCAUCCAACAUUUUUGCAGUUUAGUACUGAGCCUAUUUGGGAAAUUCAAGUCAGAAGAUUAAUGAGUGAAUAUAGAAGGCCUGGGAUGAGCUGAGCCAGAAAUGCCCCAAAUCCAUGUCUGAGACCAGCAGCCCUGUCCCAUAGCAUUGCUACUCUGCCAGGUUGUUCCAGAUUCUUCAAACUCUCCAUUUUUUGAUGCUGUGAUUACCUCUGUCAGCUCUGGUCCUAUCAAAUGGACCCCCAAGUAGGUCCUAAUAUCUUUGGUUUUAAACUUGGCCAGGAUUGCAGAAAAGAAGAAAACCCAAGAAGGCUCUAGUCGCCUAUGUUGAAGAAGUUAUGUUACUUUUCACAACUUGGGAUCAUGAGUUGAGCUGGACCAGCUUUGUGGGGUGUUCCACCUGCAGGUUCCCCCACCCACAUCUGCCUUUGGGCCCCAAAGACCUUGUUUUUCAAAGGGGUAUAGGAAUGCUCCUGGGCUAGUGGCUACAUAGGAUACAGCUAUGAGGAAGAGAAUUCUCCGCUCAGAGGCAGCCCUGCAUGAAAGCAAAGGAGAUGGCCUCCAUCAGCCCAUCGCCAAAUCCAAAGUCUAAGAGAGGGCAGCCCGGGUGGCUCAGCAGUUUAGCACUGCCUUUGGCCCAGACUGUGAUCCCGGAGUCCUGGGAUCGAGUCUCACGUCGGGCUCCCUGCACGGAGCCUGCUUCUCC